rnacentral:tRNA from 2 species
GGUGGGGUGGCCGAGCGGCUGAUGGCACCGGUCUUGAAAACCGGUAAAGGCGCAAGUCUUUCAGGGGUUCGAAUCCCCUCCCCACCG